rnacentral:rRNA from 1 species
CUACGGGAGGCAGCAGUCGGGAAUAUUGCGCAAUGGGGGAAACCCUGACGCAGCGACGCCGCGUAGAGGAUGAAGGUCUUCGGAUUGUAAACUCUUGUCAACAGGGACGAAUUAUGACUGUACCUGUGGAGGAAGCCCCGGCUAACUACGUGCCAGCAGCCGCGGUAAUACGUAGGGGGCAAGCGUUAUCCGGAAUUACUGGGUGUAAAGGGCGUGUAGGCGGGACCUUAAGUCAGAUGUGAAAUCCCAUGGCUCAACCAUGGAACUGCAUCUGAAACUGGGGUUCUUGAGUGCAGGAGAGGAAAGCGGAAUUCCUAGUGUAGCGGUGAAAUGCGUAGAUAUUAGGAGGAACACCAGUGGCGAAGGCGGCUUUCUGGACUGUAACUGACGCUGAGACGCGAAAGCGUGGGGAGCAAACAGGAUUAGAUACCCUGGUAA